rnacentral:pre_miRNA from 1 species
AGGGCUCAAAUUGACUCUAGUAGGGAGUCUUAAUCUUUAACGACUCCCUAAUGGAGUCAGAUUGAGUCACUU